rnacentral:rRNA from 1 species
AGAGUUUGAUCCUGGCUCAGGACGAACGCUGGCGGCGCGCCUAACACAUGCAAGUCGAACGAGCGAGAGAGAGUUUACUUUUUCGAGCGAGUGGCGAACGGGUGAGUAACGCGUGAGGAACCUGCCUCAAAGAGGGGGACAACAGUUGGAAACGACUGCUAAUACCGCAUAAGCCCACGACCCGGCAUCGGGUAGAGGGAAAAGGAGCAAUCCGCUUUGAGAUGGCCUCGCGUCCGAUUAGCUAGUUGGUGAGGUAAUGGCCCACCAAGGCGACGAUCGGUAGCCGGACUGAGAGGUUGAACGGCCACAUUGGGACUGAGACACGGCCCAGACUCCUACGGGAGGCAGCAGUGGGGAAUAUUGCACAAUGGGGGAAACCCUGAUGCAGCGACGCCGCGUGGAGGAAGAAGGUCUUCGGAUUGUAAACUCCUGUUGUUGAGGAAGAUAAUGACGGUACUCAACAAGGAAGUGACGGCUACUACGUGCCAGCAGCCGCGGU